AUUCUGAUUAAGACAGUACCCUAGGUUCCGCUCGUAUACCUCUCAGCCCUCAACUAUCUUUCCCUGGACUUGGUAACCGUUAUCAGUCCAGUCUACACUGUGAUCGGCCUUUCUGCUGGUCCUCUGGUGCUAUGAGGAGUCUGAAAUGCAUCUUUGUGUUCCCUGGUUAGAAACUCUCCUCCAUAAAUGCUGAAGCCUCCAGACCCCUUAGAGUCCUUAGGUGCAUUACAUAAGGUGCUACACCCACCUUUACUUCUGGCUACAAAGCCCAAAGAACUACAUAUUGAAGACAGUCACAGUGGCACACACUCGUACUUCCAGCUACUCAGGAAGGUGAGACCAGGCACAAGAGGACCUUUGACACAUCAGAAAGCCCUUAAGGCAGAUUAGAAGGAAGAUUACUCCCCAGAAUUGGCUCAUCUCAGGAGAGAAAGGCCUAGGAAGCUGGUGACCUAGUUGUUUUGUUC
rnacentral:lncRNA from 1 species